rnacentral:lncRNA from 1 species
CAAGCAAGUCGGUAUGUGGAAUUUAAUCUGCACGGCUCGUGUGACCAUAAUUAACCCGAACGACGUAGGAGUUCGGGUUAAAGGGUCACACGAGUCGUGCAAAUUAAAUCCAAUAUACCGAUUUGAUUGGCCAAUAACUGUUUUAACACAUGACGCAAUCAAUUUAAGUUCAACGUUUUAGAAAUGUGGACGAUAUUCCGCAAUCCACGGUUCCUAGGAAAGUUUUUUGUAGG